rnacentral:tRNA from 1 species
GCGGAAGUAGUUCAGUGGUAGAACAUCACCUUGCCAAGGUGGGGGUCGCGGGUUCGAACCCCGUCAGCACCU